AUAUCCAUAACUUUAUCUGAACCACCUUUUGGCAUUAUCUUUCUGAGAGAAAAACGUGUAUCAUGUUACCCAUAGCUUCAUCUCAACCACCUUUUGGCAUUAUCUUUCUGAGCAAAAACAUACUUUUUAUAGUUUCCCCCUUUGUUCAAACAUAAUCCCCCUUUUUUAUAUGCAUUCUCCAAAAAUUGGCCACAAUUAUCUUGGUAUACCAUAACCUAGAGAGAAUAACCCUAGUGCUUUGGUCCAUGAUUCUGACCUAUUUCAUGUAACCUGUUUGGUCCACAUGUCGAGGGAUGAAAUAUUGUCCUCAGUACAGUAUGGUCCUCGUACAUGGUUUGUUUGAAUGUGGGGGAAACGGUAAUAGCCCUACUCCUGCCUUGUUUAUAUUAUCCGGAACUCAGAGUACAGAAGUGUUUACAAUGGGGGGUAUCUGCUGAGUCGGGAUGACUCGGCGGGUUUGGAUCUGUUGUAGAUUGUAGGCUCUGGAACCUUGUGGACCCCUGGCCACCCUUUUAUAUGUGCGGUAUGGCGCUUACUCCGCGCAUCCUUGUAAAACUCCAUGUCGCGCUGGGCAGGUGUCCUAGCCUGAUAUGAGUGGAACCUGUAUUAUACCUUCCAUCUAUCUUUCAAGGUUUUCUUUUGGCCCCAUAGGGUACUCCCAAAAAGGUUGGUGGGUCCCUGAAUGGGCCUGGCUUAGGUUUGGCUCAUAAGUACAUAUUCCAAAACUUGCUCAACUGUAUUAUACCUUCCGUCCUAUAUAUUUGUACAAUGGAAUAACUAUUCCUCAACAAACCCUUAGUUUCUCAUUAAACUAUGUGGAACCGG
rnacentral:lncRNA from 1 species